rnacentral:rRNA from 1 species
UACGGGGGGAGCAAGCGUUGUUCGGAUUUACUGGGCGUAAAGGGCGCGUAGGCGGCGUGGUAAGUCACUUGUGAAAUCUCCGAGCUUAACUCGGAACGGUCAAGUGAUACUGCUGUGCUAGAGUGCAGAAAGGGCAAUCGGAAUUCUUGGUGUAGCGGUGAAAUGCGUAGAUAUCGAGAGGAACACCUGCGGCGAAGGCGGGUUGCUGGGCUGAUACUGACGCUGAGGCGCGAAAGCCAGGGGAGCGAGCGGG